GAUUACGGUGGAGGCAUUGUGAACCCUGAGAAAGCUGCAG
rnacentral:sRNA from 1 species